UACGUAGGGUGCAAGCGUUGUCCGGAAUUAUUGGGCGUAAAGAGCUCGUAGGCGGCUUGUCACGUCGACUGUGAAAACCCGGGGCUCAACCCCGGGCCUGCAUUCGAUACGGGCAGACUAGAGUUCGGUAGGGGAGUCUGGAAUUCCUGGUGUAGCGGUGAAAUGCGCAGAUAUCAGGAGGAACACCCGUAGCGAAGGCGGCACUCUGGGCCGAUACUGACACUGAGGAGCGAAAGCGUGGGGAGCGAACAGG
rnacentral:rRNA from 1 species